CACACGUCAAAAUGCAUAGCAGAUCGCAUGCAUGUAAAUCUACUUUAGUUAACCUUGCUCUCCACCCUCACCGAUGCCACAUUCAAAAUACAGUUCAAAGUUACAGUUCAGCCACACUCAAAACCAAAGCGAAUAGAAACAGAAGCGUUACCACGUCACUGGGAGAACAGUUGAGUUUUCGAAUUCAGCACCUUUUAUUAGUGAGCCUUACAAACUUUCUGAAAAAUCCCAUCAUGCAAUGUGAGGAAUUUUAAUGAAAUAUUUGUUUACUACCACUUCCACUUUGUCGCGUGCGCGUACUGUGAAAAAUC
rnacentral:lncRNA from 1 species